rnacentral:rRNA from 1 species
UACGUAGGUGGCAAGCGUUGUUCGGAAUUAUUGGGCGUAAAGGGUGCGUAGGCGGCUUGGUGGGUCUGGUGUGAAAGCCCCGGGCUCAGCCCGGGAAGGGCGCUAGAAACUGCCGAGCUCGAGUGCCGGAGGGGAGAGUGGAAUUCCUGGUGUAGCGGUGAAAUGCGUAGAUAUCAGGAGGAAUACCGGUGGCGAAAGCGACUCUCUGGACGGCAACUGACGCUGAGGCACGAAAGCGUGGGGAGCAAACAGG